ACUCCUGCGGGAGGCAGCAGUGGGGAAUAUUGGACAAUGGGCGCAAGCCUGAUCCAGCCAUGCCGCGUGAGUGAUGAAGGCCCUAGGGUUGUAAAGCUCUUUCACCGGUGAAGAUAAUGACGGUAACCGGAGAAGAAGCCCCGGCUAACUUCGUGCCAGCAGCCGCGGUAAUACGAAGGGGGCUAGCGUUGUUCGGAUUUACUGGGCGUAAAGCGCACGUAGGCGGACUAUUAAGUCAGGGGUGAAAUCCCGGGGCUCAACCCCGGAACUGCCUUUGAUACUGGUAGUCUUGAGUUCGAGAGAGGUGAGUGGAAUUCCGAGUGUAGAGGUGAAAUUCGUAGAUAUUCGGAGGAACACCAGUGGCGAAGGCGGCUCACUGGCUCGAUACUGACGCUGAGGUGCGAAAGCGUGGGGAGCAAACAGGAUUAGAUACCCGGGUAGUCCCAUGAU
rnacentral:rRNA from 1 species